rnacentral:rRNA from 1 species
CCCCGUACACAAAAGCGCAUGUGCUGUGAGCUCGAUGAGUAGGGCGGGACACGUGGUAUCCUGUCUGAAUAUGGGGGGACCAUCCUCCAAGGCUAAAUACUCCUGACUGACCGAUAGUGAACCAGUACCGUGAGGGAAAGGCGAAAAGAACCCCGGCGAGGGGAGUGAAAAAGAACCUGAAACCGUGUACGUACAAGCAGUGGGAGCACCCUUUGGGGUGUGACUGCGUACCUUUUGUAUAAUGGGUCAGCGACUUAUAUUCUGUAGCAAGGUUAACCGAAUAGGGGAGCCGGAGGGAAACCGAGUCUUAACCGGGCGUUAAGUUGCAGGGUAUAGACCCGAAACCCGGUGAUCUAGCCAUGGGCAGGUUGAAGGUUGGGUAACACUAACUGGAGGACCGAACCGACUAAUGUUGAAAAAUUAGCGGAUGACCUGUGGCUGGGGGUGAAAGGCCAAUCAAACCGGGAGAUAGCUGGUUCUCCCCGAAAGCUAUUUAGGUAGCGCCUCGUGAAUUCAUCUCCGGGGGUAGAGCACUGUUUCGGCUAGGGGGCCAUCCCGGCUUACCAACCCGAUGCAAACUGCGAAUACCGGAGAAUGUUAUCACGGGAGACACACGGCGGGUGCUAACGUCCGUCGUGAAGAGGGAAACAACCCAGACCGCCAGCUAAGGUCCCAAAGUCAUGGUUAAGUGGGAAACGAUGUGGGAAGGCCCAGACAGCCAGGAUGUUGGCUUAGAAGCAGCCAUCAUUUAAAGAAAGCGUAAUAGCUCACUGGUCGAGUCGGCCUGCGCGGAAGAUGUAACGGGGCUAAACCAUGCACCGAAGCUGCGGCAGCGA